GACGAACGCUGGCGGCGUGCUUAACACAUGCAAGUCGAACGGAAAGGCCCUGCUUUUGUGGGGUGCUCGAGUGGCGAACGGGUGAGUAACACGUGAGUAACCUGCCCUUGACUUUGGGAUAACUUCAGGAAACUGGGGCUAAUACCGGAUAGGAGCUCCUGCUGCAUGGUGGGGGUUGGAAAGUUUCGGCGGUUGGGGAUGGACUCGCGGCUUAUCAGCUUGUUGGUGGGGUAGUGGAUUACCAAGGCUUUGACGGGUAGCCGGCCUGAGAGGGUGACCGGCCACAUUGGGACUGAGAUACGGCACAGACUCCUACGGGAGGCAGCAGUGGGGAAUAUUGCACAAUGGGCGGAAGCCUGAUGCAGCAACGCCGCGUGCGGGAUGACGGCCUUCGGGUUGUAAACCGCUUUCGCCUGUGACGAAGCGUGAGUGACGGUAAUGGGUAAAGAAGCACCGGCUAACUACGUG
rnacentral:rRNA from 1 species